GAUCCUGGCUCAGGAUGAACGCUGGCGGCGUGCCUAAUACAUGCAAGCCGAACGCUUCACAUAUGUGAAGAGUGGCGAACGGGUGAGUAAUACAUAAGUAACCUGGCCUUUACAGGGGGAUAACUGUUGGAAACGAUAGCUAAGACCGCAUAGGUGUGAUAACCGCAUGGAGAUGACAUGAAAUAUGCUACGGCAUAGGUAGAGGAUGGACUUAUGGCGCAUUAG
rnacentral:rRNA from 1 species